GGGAAAGUGGGGGGAGGUGGCCGGGGUAAUACGUAGGGUGCAAGCGUUAAUCGGAAGGGCUGGGCGUAAGGCGGGGGCAGGCGGUUUGGUAAGCCAGAUGUGAAAUCCCCGAGCUUAACUGGGGAACUGCGUUUGGAACUACAAGACUAGAGUGUGUCAGAGGGGGGUAGAAUUCCACGUGUAGCAGUGAAAUGCGUAGAGAUGUGGAGGAAGACCGAUGGCGAAGGCAGCCCCCUGGGAUAACACUGACGCUCAUGCACGAAAGCGUGGGGAGCAAACAGGAUUAGAUACCCCAUAGUC
rnacentral:rRNA from 1 species